CGUGUUCUAGAUUGUUUUUAAGUUGUUCUUUUAUUGUCUUAGUAAAGUUGGUAUGCAGUAGUAGGGAGAGGGCUAAGUUUGAGAACUCAGCAAGACAAUAACUGUACUUUUCCAAAUCCAAGGUUCAGUUAGAGUCAUAUUGAUUCAUGAUUUUUCAUCCCCAAAUAGCAUCAUUGCAGGUGUUGUGGGCGAACUCUGUGUGCUGAACACUUAGCAAAUCAAAUGGCCUUACCACAGUUUGCUAUUCAUU